rnacentral:lncRNA from 1 species
UUGAGCUAGCACGUCAUGUUCUUGAGAAUGCAACAUCACUUGAGUGCCUUACAUUGGAUACUACUCCUAUUAGUUACCGAUGUUCUGGUGAUAUAUUGGACAGGAAAUGCCCUCCACUGGACACUGCAUGUAUAAGGGAUGCACAUAAAUCAUACUUGGCUGUGAGAACAUACAUUGAGGGGAAAGUUAACUCAACAGUCAAGUUAAACUUACUAGGGCCUUGCAGUCGGUGUUAUGCUUUGUGAAAUUCAGAUCUCAAAUCACCAUGUGAAGUUUAGUUACUAAAUGUUUGCCUUCGAGUUCUUUGUUUUGGCUCUGUUAUAGAACUCCCAUAAGAACUUAUUAGCAGACUGUCAAAAUUUAUGUAAUAUUUACUUGAUUUACCAGUUAUUGUUGUGGAGUUCAUUUAUUUUUUAUUUGCACCUGGUGAACAGUUGUACUCCCUCUGUAAAGAAAUGUAUUAGAUCACUAGAUUAGUAUCUAAACGAUCUUACAGACAUGUAUUAGAUCACUAGAUUAGUAUCUAAAUGAUCUUACAUUUCUUUACAGAGGGAGUAUAAGAUAAUGAUCUUACAUUUCUUUACAGAGGGAGUAUAAGAUAAUGAUCUAAAUGAUCUUAUAUUUAGUACAAGAUAAUUGAUACAGUACUAAAUAGCGAUGAAGGAAUUCUGGCAAAUUUAUCUGUUUCAAUGUUCUAGCAAUACUUGUGAAAAUCACAAGUUGCUGAGAUAAGAUCCAUGAAAAGCAAGGUCCCAAAUAGGCAAAGAUAUUUUCAUUCUUGUGGUGCAAUUUCAUCCAAGCUGAAAGUAGCCUUUGAGUAAAAACAUUUUUCAAAGUUCGCAAGUGGAGUUUCUCUUGAGCACAGCUGGAACCUUUAGGCCCUGACUGGAACGUCGUUUUGAAGCUUACACCUGUCAAAUACGCCCUCGUAAAGAUAAUCCCUGGGAUGAUUGGUUGUGAGAUUACACCCGGUUAUGGCUGGUAUGGAAAACUUUGACAUCGGCUAUGACCCUUGGUCGUCCGCUUCUUCUGUCAUAGAGAACCCGUCCUGCGUUUUGUUUGAAUUUCGUCCAUUUGGGUAGGGUAAUGUGGCGGUGUCCGGCCUGUUUUGUGGAUGCACUCAUCAUGUGUCCAACGCGCGGACGCAUCUCGUCCAUUACGGUUGGGCGUUUAUUUUUUCGAAUGUGUUUUGUUGGGUAUUGAGACAUUUUUAUUUCAUCAAAGACAUUUUCAUACACACAUUCACCAAUUCUUUGCUACAAGAGCAAGACCAGAGAAGACAAGAACCACAAUUAGAUAUUUUAGAAGAUGUUUAACUUCCAUAAAUGCUUUUAGUUGGAUUAAUAUCUUCUCUGUGUCUUGAUCUGCGGAUUCUUGAGCUUGACAACUUUCUUCUUUGGUUCUAAAGAAGUAGACAUUGUUUCUUCUUUGGUCUUUUCUUUAGUCUCAUCUCUAACUUCAAUUCUAGCUAGAAGUGCAUGUACAUCUAGCAAAUUUCGUUCGAUCAAAAGAUCGAUGUAGAUUUCUUCCCAAUACCAAAAACUGCAUCCCACCUACACAUUGGCGGUGCCAGGAUCAAAACCUUGUGAUGUCAAGCUUUACUAAUGAACUUUGUUUAGAUCAUAAACAGAAGCAAAAAAUAACAUACUUUACUACAAACAAACAUAUCUAUGAUAGUAGUGCUUUGGGAUCAUGCAUACUUUGAUAUGUUGUGAGCAUCAAUAGGAGUUUGUUCUUCCCCCAUUUUUAGGCGAUUGUUGUGAGGAAUUUGCAACAUUUGGCUUGGACUGCCACUUCUUUACGAAUUUAUCCAUUUAUCAAACCAAAGACCUGACAAGAUAAGAAAAACAAAAUAUGCAAUUCUUAUUCUUAAUAAAAAAAAAAUCUCUUGCUUCCUGAAUCCUAAUAUUGCUAGUGAGAGAAAAAAAUGGAAGAUAAAGGGAAGCAGAUAAAUAAAUAAUAAAACUUAUAAAUAGAAGUGGAGGGUCUCGUCCUGAAGUUGGAUCGGAUAGAGUAGUGACUAGUACAACCGUAUUGAUCAAUUGAUUCUCGCGCUGUCGCACACUAUGCGUGUGCAGCCGCGGGUGCGUCGUCGCUCGCGGCUCGCCAGACUGCUGGGACGGUCAUGAGUUAGUACCGGAUGUUGAAGGAGAUCACGUAAUUUGGGAAUCAACGCAGUUAAGGGAUUUCGGACUUCUUGCUAGCGGCCCAACCAAUUGUUACCUAAGCAGAGAAUAACACGAUAGAUGAGCCUGUGUACUUGAAAUUCCAAAUUCAGCUUGUCAUAUGCAGACCUGGAUCAACUACGUACGAAAAUCCUGUCUAGUCAAGCCACUACACACGUAUAACGUGGCUUCGCCACUGCACCUACACACAAAUUUGAGCUAAUAAGCUAACAAAAUUUCGGGAGUCCGAAUGCAAAACCAAGCCAAAAAACGGAUAUACCUCAUCGUUUUUGCACUUGAUGAACACCCAUUGGGGAUGUUCGGCGUCGUAGAGACGCCCUGUCAUAUCAGGGGCCCUGUGCAAAACCAAAGAGAGGGGCCCCAUGCACAUAAAAUAUGUACUGAAAUAGUUAAUCCUGCAUUUUUUUAUUACAAAGUCGAUAUAGAUAAUACUUUGUUGAUUACAGAUUAUGACACACACUCUCACUAUAUGAUCCCAACACUGCAAAAGAUGAAAUGCAAAUUACAUAAGGAAAUUACAUGAUUUCUAGAUGACAUCUUAGCAAAAAAAUAGUAUACUCGUCAAAAGCCAAGGCAAAAAAUUGGAUUAAAAGUACCUACAAACUGCAGUCUGAAGAGUGAACACCCAAAGAAUGGUGGCAGAAGAACCUGAUUGCUGUCGAAUGGACUGCUCGUCUACUCCGAUCCAGGUCUGCUACGAUCUCCCCGCGAACGAAAUCCCCUUCACAGCUACAUGAACAGCUUGGGCGUGAUAUCAGGGGAUCAAGCCCAUGAGCAGCUUGGGCGUGAUAUCAGGGGAUCAAGCCCAUGAGCAGCUUGGGCGUGAUAUCAGGGAAUCAAGC